rnacentral:rRNA from 1 species
GGAAUAUUGGGCAAUGGGCGAGAGCCUGACCCAGCCAUGCCGCGUGCCGGAUGAAGGCCUUCUGGGUUGUAAACGGCUUUUCUCAGGGAAGAAAAAGACCUUGCGAGGUACACUGACGGUACCUGAGGAAUAAGCACCGGCUAACUCCGUGCCAGCAGCCGCGGUAAUACGGAGGGUGCAAGCGUUGUCCGGAUUUAUUGGGUUUAAAGGGUGCGUAGGUGGCCCUAUAAGUCCGGGGUGAAAGCCCACAGCUCAACUGUGGAACUGCCCUGGAUACUGUCGGGCUUGAGAGUCGUCGAGGGUGGNGGAAUNGACGGUGUAGCGGUGAAAUGCAUAGAUACCGUCCAGAACCCCAAUUGCGUAGGCAGCUGCCUNGGNGACAUCUGACACUGAGACACGAAAGCGUGG